CAUACACUUCCUAAUAUAAUUCAUAAUAAUUGUAAACUUCCUGUUGAAUAGUUUGAAUGCACCAAUCAAUCACCUUUGUUGUUUGUGCAACUAACCAAUCAUAAAUAGAAAGGAAGUGACCAGAAAUGAUCAAAUUCUUGGAAUUGGCUCUUUCACAGGAAGUGUAUGAAUAUCUCGAGGAACUUGAUGAAACGAAUUGGUCAGCCUGGGGUAAUGUAUUGAAUCAAUAUUUGAGGAACACUUCAAUCCACCACUUCAGCGGUAAAACGCACGUGUAAAUUCCAAGGGUGUCACGUGG